GCCUAGUUAGCUUAGUUGGUAGCGCGUCUGCCUUGUAAGCGCAAGGGGCGGGUUCGAUUCCUGUCCGGGGCG
rnacentral:tRNA from 1 species